AGCCUGACGGAGCAACGCCGCGUGGGGGAGGAAUGUCUGUGGAUUGUAAACCCCUUUUCUCAGGGAAGAAGUUCUGACGGUACCUGAGGAAUCAGCAUCGGCUAACUCCGUGCCAGCAGCCGCGGUAAGACGGAGGAUGCAAGCGUUAUCCGGAAUUAUUGGGCGUAAAGCGUUCGUAGGUGGUUCUGUAAGUCUGCUGUUAAAGCGUGUAGCUCAACUACAUAUAGGCGGUGGAAACUACAAAACUUGAGUGCGUUCGGGGUAGAGGGAAUUCCUGGUGUAGCGGUGAAAUGCGUAGAGAUCAGGAAGAACACCGGUGGCGAAGGCGCUCUACUAGACCGCAACUGACACUGAGGGACGAAAGCUAGGGGAGCGAAUGGGAUUAGAUACCCCAGUAGUC
rnacentral:rRNA from 1 species